GGGAAUGUGGCUUAGUGGUAGAGUGCUUGCCCAGCAUGCAUGAAGCCCUGGGUUCAAAUCCUCAGCACCA
rnacentral:tRNA from 1 species